rnacentral:tRNA from 1 species
UCCUUGGUGGUGCAAAUGGUUAAUGCACUUGGCUGCUAACCAAAAGAUCGGAGGUUCAAGCCUACCCAGAGGU